UGCGCCGAAAAUGUACCGGGGCUAAACAUAUUACCGAAGCUGUGGAUUGUCCUUUGGACAAUGGUAGGAGAGCGUUCUAAGGGCGUCGAAGCAUGAUCGCAAGGACAUGUGGAGCGCUUAGAAGUGAGAAUGCCGGUGUGAGUAGCGAAAGACGGGUGAGAAUCCCGUCCACCGAUUGACUAAGGUUUCCAGAGGAAGGCUCGUCCGCUCUGGGUUAGUCGGGUCCUAAGCUGAGGCCGACAGGCGUAGGCGAUGGAUAACAGGUUGAUAUUCCUGUACCACCUAGUAUCGUUUUAAUCGAUGGGGGGACGCAGUAGGAUAGGCGAAGCGUGCUGUUGGAGUGCACGUCCAAGCAGUAAGGCUGAGUGUUAGGCAAAUCCGGCACUCAUAAGGCUGAGCUGUGAUGGGGAGAGGAAAUUGUUUCCUCGAGUCGUUGAUUUCACACUGCCGAGAAAAGCCUCUAGAUAGAUAACAGGUGCCCGUACCGCAAACCGACACAGGUAGUCAAGAUGAGAAUUCUAAGGUGAGCGAGCGAACUCUCGUUAAGGAACUCGGCAAAAUGACCCCGUAACUUCGGGAGAAGGGGUGCUCUUUAGGGUUCACGCCCAGAAGAGCCGCAGUGAAUAGGCCCAAGCGACUGUUUAUCAAAAACACAGGUCUCUGCUAAACCGUAAGGUGAUGUAUAGGGGCUGACGCCUGCCCGGUGCUGGAAGGUUAAGAGGAGUGGUUAGCUUCUGCGAAGCUACGAAUCGAAGCCCCAGUAAACGGCGGCCGUAACUAUAACGGUCCUAAGGUAGCGAAAUUCCUUGUCGGGUAAGUUCCGACCCGCACGAAAGGCGUAACGAUUUGGGCACUGUCUCAACGAGAGACUCGGUGAAAUCAUAGUACCUGUGAAGAUGCAGGUUACCCGCGACAGGACGGAAAGACCCCGUGGAGCUUUACUGUAGCCUGAUAUUGAAAUUCGGCACAGCUUGUACAGGAUAGGUAGGAGCCUUUGAAACGUGAGCGCUAGCUUACGUGGAGGCGUUGGUGGGAUACUACCCUAGCUGUGUUGGCUUUCUAACCCGCACCACUUAUCGUGGUGGGAGACAGUGUCAGGCGGGCAGUUUGACUGGGGCGGUCGCCUCCUAAAAGGUAACGGAGGCGCUCAAAGGUUCCCUCAGAAUGGUUGGAAAUCAUUCAUAGAGUGUAAAGGCAUAAGGGAGCUUGACUGCGAGACCUACAAGUCGAGCAGGGUCGAAAGACGGACUUAGUGAUCCGGUGGUUCCGCAUGGAAGGGCCAUCGCUCAACGGAUAAAAGCUACCCCGGGGAUAACAGGCUUAUCUCCCCCAAGAGUUCACAUCGACGGGGAGGUUUGGCACCUCGAUGUCGGCUCAUCGCAUCCUGGGGCUGUAGUCGGUCCCAAGGGUUGGGCUGUUCGCCCAUUAAAGCGGUACGCUAGCUGGGUUCAGAACGUCGUGAGACAGUUCGGUCCCUAUCCGUCGUGGGCGUAGGAAAUUUGAGAGGAGCUGUCCUUAGUACGAGAGGACCGGGAUGGACAUACCUCUGGUGUACCAGUUGUCGUGCCAACGGCAUAGCUGGGUAGCUAUGUAUGGACGGGAUAAGUGCUGAAAGCAUCUAAGCAUGAAGCCCCCCUCAAGAUGAGAUUUCCCAACUUCGGUUAUAAGAUCCCUCGAAGAUGACGAGGUUAAUAGGUUCGAGGUGGAAGCGUGGUGACACGUGGAGCUGACGAAUACUAAUCGAUCGAAGACUUAAUCAAUUUUUAAA
rnacentral:rRNA from 1 species